UAGAGGGUAUGAUGGCCCUUUAAGGGAGUUGGACUCAGCCCCAUCUCUUUCAUGUUAGUUACCUCCCCAGCUGAGAGGCUUCCAGGCAGAUAAAGAAGUCUGCUCCUUAGGGAGAAAGACCUACAAUAAGCAGGACAAUUCUUGCAGGGGACCCAGAAGAGACUAGGGAAGAUGUCUCAACUCCAGCCAGAAGGAAGGAUCUGGCAGAAGCAGCCCGCAGGGAGGGACACGAGUAGAAGCUGUAAGAGGAAGAGGCUUGAAAAAAGCAGCAGGAGUUGGGUUUUGACAAAGAACUGCUGAGCCCAGCAAGGGGCUGUGAAACUGGUAGUCAGGGAGAGGCUUGUUUUGAACAGUGGCAAGGGAGUUCCAAGCAAGAGAUUUUAUUCCUGUUGAGAAUGACCCAAAAGGAACAAGGCUCUGGAGCUGAGUAUCAAUACUAAGUAGAUAGCUACAUGAUGUGAAGUGAGCUUGUGAACUAGAUGGAUGCAGGGCUCUUUCCGUGAAAACAGGAUUUUUUUCUGUAGCUGACUCUCUUCUCCGGCUGCUGGUUCUUCACCUGCAGUAGCCUGGAAAGGUUGAGAGCCACUGUCCUAGACAACACUGCCACUCUCUAAAGCCAAGUGGCACGCUCCAUAAAAUGCUUCUCCAGACACACCACCAAUCCUUCCCGCCUAAAUUAACCGACCUGAAGACAGGAAGAGCGCACUUCACCCAGGGGCGAACCCAGCGCGCAGCAUUGAGAGCGGAAGAUUAGACACAGACCAACCCAGGGAAGGGCCACGGGCCACUAGACAGCGCCGCAGAGAGAGGGCACCGGGCAAGGGCCCACAGGACCAAGCUGCUGACCUUCGUGACAGAGUGAAAUCCACAGGAGGUGAAAGCUCCUGGCCAGGAGUGGGAGAUCCUGUCCCGUCUCCCCAUGAAGCUUGGAGUUCACAGCCCCGAAUGGCACCCUUCGAGUUUGUCAGUCUCUGCCAGCGUGCUCAGUGCUGUUAUGAACAAAGGGGGACACAGGCCCUGUCCCGUGGGUGAUGCCCCACAUAACAGGCUCAACUAAAGAGAUGAGCCCCAGAGGUGGCUGUGACAAAUUAACCAUUAGACCUAUGCAAGCAGCUGGGCUCCUCUGGCUAGUCUAUCUAGCUAUAUAGCAUGUCAGGCUCCCCCAUGCUCUGCUCAGACCUGCACUGUGGCAUUAUGGGGUCACUCCUGCUUUACUUCUUCCAUGUGCUGAGACUUCCCCACACCCAUGGGCAGCAGUAUCGCCACCAUGUACACCAUACACACGCUUUAGACACGGAUGGCCUGGUGUUCCUUAGCUUUCUGUAGAGAACAUAAAGGUGCACACAAGGGUGUGCAUCUGGAAUUGGGGCAAAUUCCCAACAUGGACAAGGCCAAAGUGGAGGAAAGUAGGCACUGUGCUGGGGAAGGGAGAGGAAUCCCUAGUUCCUGAUCUUGUUGCAGCUGCUUCUAUACACAGGCAGCAAAGAAGAGCUGAGUUAGACUUGCUAUAGCUGCUUCCCAAUGUGAGUGAAGAUACUACAGUACUUUCAGAGUCGAUCAUUACAGAGGCUGCUGGCAACCCACUACCACUGCAGGGCUGAUGAGAACUCUUGCCACCACUCUCGGAGUAAAGGGGGUGGAUCUUUUGCUCUGUAUGCCCUUCCUUUUAUAGUGAAACUCCACUUUAAAGUGCUUUUGUGUGGGGGGGGGGGACCCAAACCCUUUUUGAGAGUUACACUGUUUAGAAACUUCAUCCCCGUGCUGAUGUCAGUCUGAAUAAAUACCUCCCUCAUUAGAUUAAACUGGUAGUCUUUGCAAAACCUCAGGCUAAGCAUUUGUGAAGACCACAAGGAUCUGAUGUUGGGAGGGGUGAGCUUGUAAAAAUGAUGGGGAUGGAGUUCCAACAGGAAAAUAUGAUGCAAUGCAAUUCAGCAAUACACCACACAAUGUGGUCACUUUCCAUUUAAGUAUGCCUGUGCUGCAUGUCCAUAAUUACUACACAUUUGAUUGAUCUCUCAGUCCCUUUUUCUCAUUUCUCUCUUUCUGUUUCUCAAACUGCCUCUUCAUCUGCCUGGCUAUUCAUAGGUCUUGUUCUUGGUUUUUAGGAACUAAUUUACAGUGGCAAGAUUUCACACCACCUUAACUCACAAAUUUUGAUUAAGGAUGUGUGGUUUACAGACAAAAGAACGAUCAUGACCCUCUCACCAAUUAAAAAUGACUGGGAAAUUCUGCAUGUGCUGUGUGUUUCUUCCUGUACUAUAUUGCCUCAAAAGAGUAUCUGCCAUUUUGCACUGUGUGGAAUCUCAAUCAAGAUGCAUUAAAAUAACUUUUUGCUGCAGUAAGCAGAGUUGUGACUUCAGGUGGAACAUAUGUUGGGCUCUUCACUUUGAACUCAACCUCUUGAUGAAAUUAACAAUUCAUAUCUACUGGCUGGAGCAUCCAAAAAGUCUUGCCUUUGAUAUUGUCUCCUUUCACAGGCCUGACGUGCUGCCUUUUGUCCA